CCUGUUUUGAUUUGAAAGGCUUCCUUACGGUGCUCAAUUGCGUCGUUAAAUGUUGGGCUUCCGAGGUCAGCUUCCGAAGGGCAAAAUGCGCAAUGGAAGCCUCGAACCUGAACCUUUUCGCUGGAAACGUGCACGCACAGGCAAGCAGAUCCUUGUCAGCAGCAUGGCACCAACGGCACCGUGACGCCAACUGCUUUUCUACCAUACCCGAAACCCCACGUGAUUAUCGGAGGAUUAUAAAAUUUCAAUUAAAAAUGGACCUGAAGGACCUGAAGGAUCUAUCCCUCCGUGGCAGCAACUAACAAGCGAGUGAGAGAGUCCCCCCCUAGCGCUUGACGUUGGCUUGCUUUGAUCCUGCCGGAGGGAUUUCGAUUGACACGCCCUCCGACACAGAGUCGUUGCCAUGUGGGCUCGCCGUGACGUGUUCCUGCUUCCUGCUCGGCUAAUCGUACGUAAUUUACGUGUCAUCCGCUACCACAGCGAUGAUAGAGUUGGAAAACCGUUUUCUAGCAGCUGACGUCGGGAGCGUUGAUUAAGUGGCAUAGAGAUGUUCCGAGGCAAGUUUUCAGUUUUUACAGCCUGCUAGAUCUGGUUAAUUGAGGCGGUACCGAACUCGAAGCAUGUUGCUGAUGGGUGAUGUAAACACUCAUAAUUUGGUUGUUUUUUGGUUUAUGUUGAAAUUAGACAGCUUCCACGGACCGUGGA